AGGUAAGCUACUAAGAGCGAAUGGUGGAUGCCUUGACUGGUAAAGGCGAUGAAGGACGUACUAGACUGCGAUAAGCUACGGGGAGCUGUCAAGAAGCUUUGAUCCGUAGAUUUCCGAAUGGGGCAACCCAAUGUAUAGAGAUAUACAUUACCUAUAUAGGAGCGAACGAGGGGAAUUGAAACAUCUUAGUACCCUCAGGAAAAGAAAUCAAUAGAGAUUGCGUCAGUAGCGGCGAGCGAAAGCGCAAGAGGGCAAACCCAGUGCUUGCACUGGGGGUUGUAGGACUGCAAUGUGCAAGAGGUAAGUUUAGCAGAACAUUCUGGAAAGUAUAACCAUAGAGGGUGAUAGUCCCGUAUGCGAAAAACAAACCUUAGCUAGCAGUAUCCUGAGUAGGGCGGGACACGAGGAAUCCUGUCUGAAUCCGGGUCGACCACGAUCCAACCCUAAAUACUAAUACCAGAUCGAUAGUGCACAAGUACCGUGAGGGAAAGGUGAAAAGAACUGAGGUGAUCAGAGUGAAAUAGAACCUGAAACCAUUUGCUUACAAUCAUUCAGAGCCCUAUGUAGCAAUACAGGGUGAUGGACUGCCUUUUGCAUAAUGAGCCUGCGAGUUGUGGUGUCUGGCAAGGUUAAGCAAACGCGAAGCCGUAGCGAAAGCGAGUCUGAAUAGGGCGCUUAGUCAGAUGCUGCAGACCCGAAACGAAGUGAUCUAUCCAUGAGCAAGUUGAAGCUAGUGUAAGAACUAGUGGAGGACUGAACCCAUAGGCGUUGAAAAGCCCCGGGAUGACUUGUGGAUAGGGGUGAAAGGCCAAUCAAACUUCGUGAUAGCUGGUUCUCUCCGAAAUAUAUUUAGGUAUAGCGUUGUGUCGUAAUAUAAGGGGGUAGAGCACUGAAUGGGCUAGGGCAUACACCAAUGUACCAAACCCUAUCAAACUCCGAAUACCUUAUAUGUAAUCACAGCAGUCAGGCGGCGAGUGAUAAAAUCCGUCGUCAAGAGGGAAACAACCCAGACUACCAGCUAAGGUCCCUAAAUCUUACUUAAGUGGAAAACGAUGUGAAGUUACUUAAACAACCAGGAGGUUGGCUUAGAAGCAGCCAUCCUUUAAAGAAAGCGUAAUAGCUCACUGGUCUAGUGAUUUUGCGCGGAAAAUAUAACGGGGCUAAAGUAAGUACCGAAGCUGUAGACUUGCACACAACUUAGAUUAUUUAAGUUUAGAAUAUGAGAAACUAAGUUAUAU
rnacentral:rRNA from 1 species